CUGUUUGUGCACCACAAAGCAAGUGCGCUUAAAUAGGGAGGAUGGAGCGGUUUGAGCUUCGGCCCUAGGCGGCUAAUUCCUUGUUAUUUUUACACUACAUCAUAUAAACGACAUGAAAUGUAACACCGUUGUAACUUAACACCGCUAAUACACCACAUAUCUGGUAUUAUUCUGUAUUUUUAUAUUUAGCUUUGUUUAUUAUUAUUAUUUCCUCUGUUCAUCUAUUUAAAACCACGGUUGUCGCUACAUAAUGUCGUGUAUUAUAGAGUUACAAAGGGGCGGAAAGUUUCGGUAAACUUACUGAAACUUUCAACGGGAACUUAAUCUGGUACUUAAUCUUAAUUUAUGGGAAUUAUUUGUAACUAUAGGGAAAUGUAUAUAAACUAUAUGAUAUAGAAACAUAAAUAAACAUGUUGUUUGGUCAUAAGCAGACAUGAAUACAAGGCAGAGGCAGUUCUAGGCCUUCUUUAGGGUGUCUCCAGCCCCCUGUGUGUGAUCUCAGUCACUCUAAAACUAUAAGGAGCAUUUUUACUUUCAGAAAUAAACAAUAAAAAUGACGUUAAAAUGCAGG